GGGGAAAAAUCAAAGAAGUUCUCCACAGGUGAAAAAAAAUCGUAAAAAUGAUAAGGGAGUUCAGAUUCUUUUUUUUUCUUUUUUUUUUUUUUUUGGGUCAGAAAAUUUCAGUUUCCUUUACGUUGAAAUCGAACAUGAAAAUAAUUUUCGUGGACCAAAAGGCCCUUACAACUUAAAUUCGGAUUUUCUAGUUCUUUUCUUUAAUUUGUAUCUUUUACAUUGGGCCAAAAUACUUAAUAUCCAAAAUUUUAAAUUUCCUGAUGAAAGAGGAGAGGAAAAGGUCGAUAAUUUCUUUUUGUCUUCUUUCCAUUUCAUAAAAUAAUUAGGUCGAAUUUAAUCAUUUUCCAAUCAAAAUAUUUUCACUUAAUAUGUCAUCAUUUUCCACCUUAAUUUUUCUUUUUCUAUAUCCCAUAUUGAACUUAGGUUUGUGCUUAUUAGUAUUGACCUAGUCCACUGUUAGCUAUUCCAAUUUCCAUCGGAAUCAAACGUUAUCUUCAACUUGCACCAGAAUCACAGCACAAUCAAAAUAUCUGCAUGAGAAACAUUAACAUCUAUUGGUGACUAGAAGUCUAUGACAUAUAUGCUUGCUUAUGCUUCCUGAAAAUUGUCACUUUCUAAUUAGUACAUAGGCCUGAUUAGCUACCUUUGGUUGUCUACCAACAUUUCCUUUGUGUAAUUUUACUUUUGAUUUCCGCAUUAGGUGAAGUCACAUUUGGAAUAUACAAGCAAAAUGCUCAGGCUAUAUUAUCGACUUACUUGAGUAUACUGAAUAAGAUUGAUGGAAAUCGCCCAAAGAGGUGGUUUUCAGUGAAGUAGACUCACUGCCGUCAAGGAUCCAAAAAGAUAAAGCAAAAACAACAAAACUAGGGUAAAUGGCGGGGAAUACCUACUAGGUUGAAUAAUAUUCCUUACUCUAGAGAAAUCUGGACAUAUUUCUACGACGAUGUGCUUCAAGCUAUGCAGAGAGCCAUAUAUGAUGGAAAAACAAGACUGAAGGUAGAAAUCAAUAUCCCAGAGCUAAACCAAGAAAUGGAUGUUUAUAGAAUAGGUACUCUGAUGGAACUUGUCAGAGUUACUGCUCUUUCAUUGAUGGAAAACGUGUUAAGGUUUGUGUUCAAGCGUCCAUGGGAGAAGGUACUCUUAAUGGAAUGCGACUGCAGCUUGCUGGUAGUCGCAAGAUAUUGGAGUUCAUAGAUUGGGGAGAUCACGGUGCAUUAGGAACCUUUGUCAAGAUUGGAUCUAUAGGUGGUGGUUGUCAUAAUACUUGCAGAGAUCCAAAUAUAUAGACUCUAAAGAAUCCAAGUAUACAUGGUGUGGGACUUCCAAGUUCCUCUCUGACAUCCAACCCCAUGCAGGAAUUUUGCCCAACAUGUGAUUAGUGCAUACUUUCAACUUUCAACCUUGUGUUCUCUUCCUUUUUCGACUCAUGGGGGCUUAAAAUUUAAAUGUUUAUGAUAGUGAGAGGGCUCAUAUAUCAAUCUCGUAUGCUCAGAUGGUCGUUGCAUUAGAUGCAUUGGAUGUUAAAUUGCUAUUCCACCUCUGAUCCAUAGCCGCAUUUCUAUCAUUAGCUUAUGUCGCUUUUAAGAGCCAUUUCACUGGGCAAUCAUUUCACAAUGUGUAGCUUUACUAAGCCUUAAAUCUAGGUUGACGAGCAAGAUGACAUUUUUAUCUUAGUGGCUCCUCAAAAUGCUGUGGGUAACUGUAUCAUCGAUGUAAGAGCUUGAUAGCAAGUGUUUCGUUAAUCCUUUCGCAAUUAUGUCCAUUUUAUGACAUAUGCCGCAACUAUAUGGUUAAGCACCACUUGAUUUUGAGAUUGCAGGAUCUCAGGGGCGUGACUGAAUCUGCUGGUAUGCGUCCAGUCAUCCUCAUCAAUCCUAGGCUUAAGGUUUGUCCCGAAAUUUUCUGUUGAGUUGAACACUUUCAUUGCUUGGGUUAUGACUCUAAUUGCACUUAGCGAGAUAUUUAGCUGAUGAAUGUUGAUAAAUAUCCACGUUUCUGUCCGAUAAUGUCCUACAAGUGAGGCUGCAGCCAUAUUCAGCAGCUGGUCAUUAUUUGGUCAGUACAAAAACAGACUAGUAGAAAUCAUCUCUCAGUCAGGUUUCCUUGAUUUACAGAGUUACGGAGGUAAGCUAUUCUUCAAACAAAAAUCAGCCAAAAUCUUGUAUAAAAUGACCCCAAGAAACUGAGAAAUUUCUUCAGAGUAAUGCUUGCAUGUUAUUACCAUUCUUAAUCCAUUGCUUAACAUUUUGUCUGCAGACCUGCAUCCAGUGUUUUAGCAGAGUCUGCAACAAAUGUUUUGCCUCUUUCUCAUGAGCAUGGCUCUUUUUCUCCAGGAUUUACCAAGUUCCAGCGGUAUCAUGCAAGUAAGUACAAUGUUAAUAUGGGGAAACAAAAUGGAUAUAGAUUUGAACUGAUUCUCUUUAUCUUGAAAACUUGUUUUGAAGACUAUGGGACGAAACAAGAGACUGGAGUAUGCUGCAUCAUUUGAGAAUUGCUAUUUCUUCCGGCUUCUCUAUUAUGCAGGAACUCAAUACCCAAUUAUGGAUGCUCUCAGGAUGUCCCACCCCUACCCUUCGAAUUGUACACAUGAGUC